GGAGCAGGAGCUUCACGUCAGACCUCCACCAACCACAUGUUUGUUCUCUAACAGAAACUCUGUGAACCACACAGUCUUUCUGGUGGAUCAAGUUCAGCAGAAGACGAUUCAAAAGCUGCAAAAACAUUUAGAUUGCCAGAGAAGUGAUGAAGACUUUCCUGAUAUUCCAGCAUCAGGUUUGAAAGAUCCAAACUGGAAAUCAUAAAGUAAAGAGGAAUGGGUCAACAGAUACUGACUGCAUCAGGUUUGGUCCUGAAGGUUUGAUUUCAACAUUCUAAUAGACUUAUGCAUUAUUGUCCAACAAGGAAGUGACUAAAAAUAGUUCACUCUGAAGAUAAUAAUAUUUUAAAGUACAAAGGUUGUUAAGAAGGUGAAGAGGAGACGAAUAAUAUCUGAUUGGUUGAGCUGAGAAAUGAAAAGGCUGAAUGUGAUUCAAAUAAGUGAUAAAGUUCACAAUCACAUUUGACUCUUCAAGAGAAUUGUGUGUAAAUAAAUCAAACAAUGAUGUGUUUGAAGCUUUAAGGUCAAAAUGCAGGUAAAUCCAGUCAGAAAUGUUCUUUGUAUAAAACUAAACACUAGAACUCGACCUGACUGGAUAAAUGUGGAUCCAGCAACACAAUUCCCUCAAAAACUACGUUUCUACUGCAGCUUUGCAAAGUAUUACUGUGUGAAUGUAAAAUAUGUCGUAUUUAAUUGUAAUAUGUUUCUUCUGAGUGUUUUGUCUGGCUCCAUGUUACUUCAUUAGUUGGGUCCAUGUUUGGUUUGUGAUGAACAGAACUCCACAAUCAAAUCAAACCAUCCAGUGGCUCUAUUGUUGUGACGAUGCAUCCCAUGAUGUCCACUUGUGUUCAAGUGUCAGCUCAGUUUGUGUACAAGUACUAGAUUGUAUGAUGUGUUGAGUGUUGUAUCACAGUUUCAUGGUGGCUGGCUCUGCCUUCAGCAGGAGCAGUUCUGUUCGCACUUUCAUGUUU